UGGUUCUGGCAUCGAUGAAGAACGCAGCGAAAUGCGAUAAGUAAUGUGAAUUGCAGAAUUCAGUGAAUCAUCGAAUCUUUGAACGCACAUUGCGCCCGCCAGCAUUCUGGCGGGCAUGCCUGUUCGAGCGUCAUUUCAACCCCUCAGGCCCCGCGCCUGGCGUCGGGGCGUUCCCUCCGGGGAAGCCCCCAGAGACAUCGGCGGCCCCGCCGCGCCUCCGAGCGAAGUAAUACAUACCAGCUCGGGAGGACCGCGGGGGGCACCCUGCCGCUAAACAGGCCCAGGUUCCUGGGCCGCCCCAAACAAGGUUGACCUCGGAUCAGGUAGGAAUACCCGCUGA
rnacentral:misc_RNA from 1 species